rnacentral:rRNA from 1 species
ACGGGGUGCAGCAGGCGCGAAAACUUUACAAUGCCGGCAACGGCGAUAAGGGGACCUCGAGUGCCAGGUUACAAAUCUGGCUGUCGUGAUGCCUAAAAAGCAUUGCAUAGCAAGGGCCGGGCAAGACCGGUGCCAGCCGCCGCGGUAACACCGGCGGCUCGAGUGGUAACCGUUAUUAUUGGGUCUAAAGGGUCUGUAGCCGGCCGGAUAAGUCUCUUGAGAAAUCCAGCAGCUCAACUGUUGGGCUUUCAGGAGAUACUGUCUGGCUCGAGGCCGGGAGAGGUGAGAGGUACUUCAGGGGUAGGGGUGAAAUCUUGUAAUCCUUGAAGGACCACCAGUGGCGAAGGCGUCUCACCAGAACGGACCUGACGGCAAGGGACGAAAGCUAGGGGCACGAACCGGAUUAGAUACCCGGGUAGUCCUAGCCGUAAACGAUACUCGCUAGGUGUCGGCCACGGUGCGACCGUUGUCGGUGCCGUAGGGAAGCCGUGAAGCGAGCCACCUGGGAAGUACGGCCGCAAGGCUGAAACUUAAAGGAAUUGGCGGGGGAGCAC